GUGAGUCGCGGGGCGGGGGUGGAGGGCCGGCCUCCGGAUCGCGAGCGGCUGGAUCUGACCCGAGUCUCGGGGGCCGGGCCUGACCUCGGUUGACGGCGGGCGGACAGCCCGGGCGAGGGGGCGUGAGCGCUUACCGCGCGGUGUCGCGCGUACCUGGCGGGCGGUCCCCCCGCGGCCGCUGUUGGGGGUGGGCGCGGGGGAGCGCUCUGGCGGCCGCGAUCCCGGCUCCGAGGGGGCGGGCCGCCGGCGGGGCUCCCCCGCCAACUUGGGCGGGGAGGAAGGCGGAGGCGUCAGUGGGCACCUUUCCGAGGUGCUGCGUGCGGGCUGGAAGGCUGCCUGGUGUCACAUUGGGGCGAGUGGACGGUGGCGGAGCCGGAGAGCCCGGGGCUGAGGACCUUUCAGGCAGAAGCCAGCCAGAGGUCCCGUAGUGCUUAGAAGUGGAUCCCCCCAAAUCGCAGCCCCACCCCCACAACCCUGGGCGGCAGAGUGACAGUUGGUACCUCCUGGCCUGAUCGCAGCGGGCCAAGAGUCAGCGGCUUUGGGAUUCCCUUCAGCCCCUCGAUGACCCCCAACGGCAUAACAGGCAAAACUGAGUGAAAUGCUGGCUUCAUUCUCUUACUGAUCUCUGCGAAAGGAUCCUGGGGGUAGCAGUUUUGGAAGCGUGCUCCCCCCUACUGCAAAGUCUAGACCUCCUGAAUCAGAAAGCCUCAACUCAGAAGCCGCUGCUCUGCUCUGUGUUUUGCCAUGCCUAGUCUGGAGCUUCUGAUGCAAGGGAGUGUUGGAGAACUGAUGCUCUCAGGCCCUACAUCCAGGACCCUCCUCAGGGUGGCUGAGAAGGAAACUACCAGCACAUGUGAAUUACUGACUCUCAGAGCUGCUAUGCACUUCCAAGCUGGUUUCAGGGAUGACACCCACAUUCUUAUAGUGUUGGACAUUCACCGUAUCUAUAAUUUACCAGUGUUUUGUGGCUGGUUAAUGAGCUCUCAUUGUUUUAAUGUGGAUUUAUGUAAUUCUUAGUGAAUUGGGGCUGUUACUAAUGUUAUUUAGUUGUUAUUCUGGUUCUUGGACCAGCUGUUCAUUUUAUCUUGUGUUCCUGCCCUCUUAUUCUUUCUUCCCUCCCCCACAUUAGAGUUUCUUUUCCCCUUUUGAUUUUCUGAGACAGUAUUCCUAAACCAUUGAUUAAACAAUGCAUUCUUUCAUAGUUUUGGUGAGGCUGUUUUGAUUGUGUCUCAUGUUUCCACAUACACAUGAGACUGUCAGUUUAUGGAGAGUUGUAAUUUAUGUAAGAAGUCAAUUUAAAAUGUGCACUUUACUUAUGACAAUGUAGCUAUCUUGAAAAUGCCACAGUGAAGAUACCAAACAUUUCUGUUGACCUCAGAAUUUUUCCUGGGUCCAUUUUGUAGUCAGCACCUUCCUGUUAUAGUCAGAUUUGUGUAACCACUAUAGCUUGUGUUUCUUUAAUUUUAUUAAGUGGUCCAUACUAUAUGGUACUUUUUUGUGUCCUUUCACUAAACAUACUGAAUUAAAAAAAAUGUGACACAGGGUUUAAAAUAUCUUCUUUUCAACUGUGACACAAGACAUAGAGCAUAGCCCUUCUGGGCAAUCUUCUUUGUGUGAUUCAGUAGCGAUUGUCCAGGUUGGGUGAGCAUCAGCAUAGUCCUCCACAGAAUGUUGUCGUCACCCUAAGCCAGAUCCUGACCCCUUAAGCUCAGCCUUCUAAUGUUGAGAGGCCUCACAGGGGCUGGUAUUUUGUUUAGUUCUUCCCCAGUGUUCUUCCAUUUCUGUGCCAAACCCUUAUUUCUUCAUUAGACCUUUGUACCAUGUUUGAUAUAGUGGCAUGGGGCCCUCUUGUUCUUCAACACUGAUUUGAUUCUGUUUGGAUGUUUGCUCUUCCAUAUCCAUUUUGGGAUGCUUUUGAAGUUCUCAAUAAAGUCUAGGAAACGUAAUUGGCAUUGUUGGGCUAUCGUCUCAUGGAGAGAAUUGACAUUGUUUCUGUUUUGAUACUGUAUGGCCAUUGUCAUCCCUCCUUUAAAAAAAAAUAACCUUUAAAUAAAGUUUACAAUUUUCUUUGUUGCGGUAACACCCUUUCUUCAUUAUUGGCUUUGGAACUUGAAUUCAGGGCCGCGUACAUGCUAAACACAUGCUGUACUACUGAGCUGUGCUCUCAGCUUAUGGGAACUUUUCUAUUUUCUAAAUAAAGGCCAUAUGUUUGGGCAGAGCUGGAGUUUAGAUGCUAUAGUUUUAACAGUCACUUUGUUGUGACCAAACACCCGAGAGAAACACCCCAAGUGCAGAGACAUAGCUGCACUCAGGGUCCCUGAGCAGUCAGUCUGUGCUGGCCUGGCCUUAUGGGGGGCAGCAGGUGG
ensembl:lncRNA